GGAAUACAAGAGUGUCUCACUGCAGUGAUCUUCAGGGGGAGAUGUUGUUCCAGCAACGGCCUUGAGCCUUGACCGAGGCCGGUGCUGUGAGGGCGCCGAAAGCAGAUAAGAUUGGGAUUGUUUGGUCUUGGGGAUUCAGGAUUCACACUGAACAACGGAACAUUUCAACAUCAACACGUCAUGGAACGAAAGUUAGUAGCUGAAACUGUUGUUUUCAUCAUAUGAUUACGCCAACUAUUUGCAAUUCUGUCCUGCUCAUAGCUGCUAUUUUGGCAAAAGUGCAUUGAUCUUAUAUGUUUCUACAUGGAUCAUCGUCUGUAUCAGUCUUCCUUUGACCCUACUGGCCAUCUACUCACUGUCUUCUCUGUGCAUCCGGUUUCCAGCCCAAACUAAGAGACUUGGCUACUCCUCUCCUUCACCGCCACCUUCACCUGCACUGCACAUCAUAGGAAGCCAGCUCCCUCUCCCCUUGCACUUGAUUCACCGUGUCACAAAUGAACUUGCUGAACUUGGGACUGUUGUGAGCCUGUGUCUGCUUUUGGGUGUGAUCGCUGUUGAAACCGUAACAAGUUACUCUUAUUUCUUAAGUCGCUGUCAGCCAAGAAUAACUUCCUCCUGCCUUUAUCUGUUGAGGCAACUGUAAACGACUGCAACAAUUGACUAGAAAGAAAUUUCAACACAGCAUCUUGAGAAAAACAAGAACUUAAUCAUAUUUGUUGUUUGCUUUAGUAUUUUCAUGCAAGUACACAACUGUGUGUGCUUCACAAACACUCCACACUAAAAAGUAAGAUUAAUCACAAUUAAAUAUCAUUCAUUUUCAAUCUAUAUUAACAGCGUGCA